UUUUUUGUUUUCCUACUGUUUCAGAACUCAAUUCCUUGAACGGAUGCAGCCACCUGAGCUAGGUGAAGUUGUUGAUGAGAACUAAAGAUUCAACACCAGACCCCUAUCUAUCGUUUUGUUUAAAAAC
rnacentral:sRNA from 1 species